GAGAGAUAAAAGACGAGUAUAUUUCUGUUUUUGUUGUCAAAAGAGUAGUUUUCUUUCUUUUCUAUUUUGACGUGAUAAUUUCUGUAUCUUUAUUGAAUAACCGACUCUUAACUCUCCAGAGGGUUCGCGACAUUUCUGUGUCUGACCUACUGAACUCCUGCUGUGGAGCUUGAGUAGAGGGCGAUUUGGCUGUGUGGGAGAAAUGCCAUGAGACAUCCACUCCAUGCUGGAGUUCAAUUCACUUCAAUAUUGCAGAAACAGAAGUUAACAGCUGGUGUGGAGAUGGAAUUCAUUUAACUUUACAUAACCUCUAUCCACAACGGCUCUUCAGUUUCCUAUAAGCAUAAUCUGCCUUCUCAUCUCCACUGCCCUUCACUCAAUGGCGGACAUGGGAAUCGUUCCCACUGAUGAGGAAAAGCAAGAACUCUGCCGCCCUCCACCUCUUCGG